AAGAAUUUCAGCGAUGCAUAGCUAUGAUAAACUGCAAUCAAGUUUUAAGUCUAUUAGUUGAACAAGUUUUCAAUCUGCAAUAUAUAUGGAACUACGAUACCUAAAGUCUUAAAAAGUAUCUAUCUGCAUUGGGUAUCCUGGGGGAAAAGACUGAGUUUGGAGAUUCAUAAUUUUAUUAUGAUAAAAUAAAUGAUAUAACAAGGUCUUUUUCAGCUCUGCUAAUAAUGUUUUGGAUAAAAUAAUGUCAAAAUGUGUUCUACCAUUGUUUAAGAAAGCUGGAACUUAUGGAAAUAGAUCAUUUUAAAAAAACUUUAUUGAGUAGAGUAAUUGCAGGAGCAUAAGUGCCACAUACAGCAAAAUUUAUUUGGUCGCUAAGUUGAAAGGCGAUUGUUUAAAGAGAAUAAUAGAAUAAAUAACUUAAUAUAAUAGCAAAAAAAAUUACUUUAUUAUGUUUUUGUAUGCUUAAAUUGUAAA